GUCUAUGGCCAUACUACCCUGAAUGUACCCGAUCUCAUCUAAUCUCAGAAGCUAAUCAGGGCUGGGUGUGGUUAGUACUUGGAUGGUAAGAGGUGGCAGUGGUUCUCAGAGAGAAAAUCAUUUGCGUUCAAUU
rnacentral:rRNA from 1 species